GGAGGAAAAGAAACCAACAGGGAUUGCCUUAGUAACGGCGAGUGAAGCGGCAAAAGCUCAAAUUUGAAAUCUGGCACCUUCGGUGUCCGAGUUGUAAUUUGAAGAAGGUAACUUUGGAGUUGGCUCUUGUCUAUGUUCCUUGGAACAGGACGUCACAGAGGGUGAGAAUCCCGUGCGAUGAGAUGCCCAAUUCUAUGUAAAGUGCUUUCGAAGAGUCGAGUUGUUUGGGAAUGCAGCUCUAAGUGGGUGGUAAAUUCCAUCUAAAGCUAAAUAUUGGCGAGAGACCGAUAGCGAACAAGUACAGUGAUGGAAAGAUGAAAAGAACUUUGAAAAGAGAGUGAAAAAGUACGUGAAAUUGUUGAAAGGGAAGGGCUUGAGAUCAGACUUGGUAUUUUGCGAUCCUUUCCUUCUUGGUUGGGUUCCUCGCAGCUUACUGGGCCAGCAUCGGUUUGGAUGGUAGGAUAAUGACUAAGGAAUGUGGCUCUACUUCGGUGGAGUGUUAUAGCCUUGGUUGAUACUGCCUGUCUAGACCGAGGACUGCGUCUUUUGACUAGGAUGUUGGCAUAAUGAUCUUAANCCACCCGUCUU
rnacentral:rRNA from 1 species